GUUCCCAUUCCGAACACGGAAGUUAAGCCCACCAGCGCCGAUGGUACUUGGGUGGUGACGCCCUGGGAGAGUAGGACGCCGCCGGAU
rnacentral:rRNA from 1 species